ACCAUCAUGGCCCCCUUGACUCGAUUUACCAAGAUCUGGAGAAUGAGGAAUAAUGGUAACCUUGUCUGGCCUCAAGGAACUCAACUUGUUUGGAUUGGGGGAGAUAGGUUAAGUGAUAGAUUCUCAGUUGAAUUAGAGGUGAGAAGUUCUAAGAAAAAUCAGUUUCUUGUGCUUGUUAUUCCUGCUUGGUGACAGCUAUUAAGUUUCUGGAGAGUUUUCAUGACAUGAUGUCAUAUGCAUUGCAGAUAGCUACAGCUGGCUUGGCUGUUGAUAACGAGCUUGAUGUGGCAGUUGAUUUUACUGCUCCUGAGCAUCCUGGUAGGUACAUAUCCUACUGGAGGAUGGCUUCGUCCUCAGGUCAGAAAUUUGGCCAGCGUGUCUGGGUGCUUAUCCAGGUCAGAAUGGUUUGCUUGCCUCGGUGUUCCUGAUGAUAUGAUGUUUGUCUAAUUUUGACGUGAAGAAUGUUCCCUCCUUGUGCAUGCAGGUCGAUGCUUCAUCAAACCUUCCAAAAAAGGAGUUGGUCCACGAAGCCUUUCAUGGGUUAAACUUGAAUUUACCUCCUGCCGGCGAUGACGCAGCUGGAUCUGACAUUAUCAAUGUGAAUCCAGAACCAAGGAAUGUCCUUCCGGAACUUAAGAGUUCUAGCACAGCGAUAGAGUUGGUUGAUUCAGUGGCUGAUGUAAACCAAAACAAGGAGCAAGAGGCCAUAUUUCCUACUAAUGAUAGCUUGUUGGUUGGGUUUGGUGACAAGUCAAGUUCUUCUGCUCCCGGUUCUUCAAUUUCAUAUCCAAUUAUUGAUUUGUCCGAGGAAGCACCAGCAGUUACUUGUGUGGUACCACCCGCUGCCGUAGAUACGCAGGCACCCCCCCAGGGUGUUAGAGGGAAUAGCGAAAUUGAGGUGUCCCUCCUCCGUGAGCUGGAGGAAAUGGGGUUCAAGCAGGUGGAUUUGAACAAGGAAAUCUUGAGGAAGAAUGAGUAUGACCUGGAGCAGUCUGUUGAUGAUCUCUGCGGUGUUGCUGAGUGGGAUCCUAUCCUCGAAGAGCUGGAGGAGAUGGUAGGUUAAUUUUAGAGGUCAAAGAAAAACUGGAAGUUUCCACUUCUCUUUUCACUCUUCUGUUGCUUGUGCAAGAGUUAUUCCAGGUUGACUAUGGGUACUUUUGUGAAUGCAGGGUUUCUCCGACAAAGAAAUGAACAAGAAGCUGCUUAAGAAGAACAAUGGAAGCAUCAAGCGUGUUGUCAUGGAUCUUAUUGCUGGAGAGCAGUAGGAGAGAUUUACUGUUUGUCCUACCUGGUGAAUGAAUAGUUUGGGUUAUGAAUAAUUUGCGGGAUGCAACAACAUGCUUUUGGUGUUCAUGAAAUGGGGUUCAAGCAGGUGGAUUUGAACAAGGAAAUCUUGAGGAAGAAUGAGUAUAACCUGGAGCAGUCUGUUGAUGAUCUCUGCGGUGUUGCUGAGUGGGAUCCUAUCCUCGAAGAGCUGGAGGAGAUGGUAGGUUAAUUUUAGAGGUCAAAGAAAAACUGGAAGUUUCAACUUCUCUAUUCACUCUUCUGUUGCUUGUGCAAGAAUUGUUCCAGGUUGACUAUGGUUUUUUUUUGUGAAUGCAGGGUUUCUCCGACAAAGAAAUGAACAAGAAGCUGCUUAAGAAGAACAACGGAAGCAUCAAACGUGUUGUCAUGGAUCUUAUUGCUGGAGAGCAGUAGGAGAGAUUUACUGUUUGUCCUACCUGGUGAUGGAUAGUUUGGGUUCUGAAUAAUUUGUGGGAUGCAACAAACAUGCUUUUGGUUACUUUUUGUCAGGUACAGUGGUUCGACAAACUCUUUUUAAGUUGUUACUUGAACUCGUUGUGUAAUAUAUAUGCUAUGGUAGUGGUCGUAUCUCGAAACACCUGAUAUUUAGUGCUUAAUGCAUAUGAAUGUAUUUCUUGGUAAUAGCAAGGGGCCAGAGAAAUUUAUCGUGCGCGAUGGGAGGUAAACAUUAAAAAAAUAUUAAUUAAAUUAAAUUAUGAUUGAACUUGUUGAUCCUGGUAGAUGGAAUUACUUUAAUAAAUUUAAAUUGUCAUUUUAUUUGUCAAAACGAUAUACCUAACA
rnacentral:lncRNA from 1 species